AGAGUUUGAUCAUGGCUCAGGACGAACGCUGGCGGCGUGCUUAACACAUGCAAGUCGAGCGGAAAGGCUCCUUCGGGGGUACUCGAGCGGCGAACGGGGUGAGUAACACGUGAGUAAUCUGCCCUUCACUUCGGGAUAACUGCCUGAAAGGGUGGCUAAUACCGGGUAUUCUCCUUGCACCGCAUGGUGUGGGGUGGGAAGUUUUUUCGGUGGGGGAUGUGCUCGCGGCCUAUCAGCUUGUUGGUGGGGUAAUGGCCUACCAAGGCUUUGACGGGUAGCCGGCCUGAGAGGGUGACCGGCCACACUGGGACUGAGACACGGCCCAGACUCCUACGGGAGGCAGCAGUGGGGAAUAUUGGACAAUGGGCGGAAGCCUGAUCCAGCAACGCCGCGUGAGGGAUGACGGCCUUCGGGUUGUAAACCUCUUUCAGCACAGACGAAGCGCCUGUGAAGGUGGUGACGGUAUGUGCAGAAGAAGCACCGGCCAACUACGUGCCAGCAGCCGCGGUAAUACGUAGGGUGCGAGCGUUGUCCGGAAUUAUUGGGCGUAAAGGGCUCGUAGGCGGUUUGUCGCGUCGGGAGUGAAAUCCACUGGCUUAACUGGUGGCUUGCUUUCGAUACGGGCAGACUGGAGGUAUGCAGGGGAGAACGGAAUUCCUGGUGUAGCGGUGAAAUGCGCAGAUAUCAGGAGGAACACCGGUGGCGAAGGCGGUUCUCUGGGCAUGUCCUGACGCUGAGGAGCGAAAGUGUGGGGAGCGAACAGGAUUAGAUACCCUAGUAGUCC
rnacentral:rRNA from 1 species